rnacentral:piRNA from 1 species
UUGGUGGCUUGAAGUUCAUAGAAACUAGAU